UAAAAUAAUGAUGGCUUCCUAGUGAGUGUUGGACCUUAAGGACCGACCUCUAUCUAGGAAGUCUCUAUACCUCUGUGCACUGUAAUAGUAUCGGGUCGAGGUAACGCAGCUUUUCGGAGCAGCGAAGUUCGGCCCACAAACGGUCUCGACCGUAUAAACAACUUUUAAUUUUGACUGACUUUUGUUUCUAACGAAUCAAAAA
rnacentral:misc_RNA from 1 species